GAUGAACGCUGGCGGCGUGCCUAAUACAUGCAAGUCGAGCGAACAGACGAGGAGCUUGCUCCUCUGACGUUAGCGGCGGACGGGUGAGUAACACGUGGAUAACCUACCUAUAAGACUGGGAUAACUUCGGGAAACCGGAGCUAAUACCGGAUAAUAUAUUGAACCGCAUGGUUCAAUAGUGAAAGACGGUUUUGCUGUCACUUAUAGAUGGAUCCGCGCCGCAUUAGCUAGUUGGUAAGGUAACGGCUUACCAAGGCAACGAUGCGUAGCCGACCUGAGAGGGUGAUCGGCCACACUGGAACUGAGACACGGUCCAGACUCCUACGGGAGGCAGCAGUAGGGAAUCUUCCGCAAUGGGCGAAAGCCUGACGGAGCAACGCCGCGUGAGUGAUGAAGGUCUUCGGAUCGUAAACCUCUGUUAUUAGGGAAGAAAAAAUGUGUAAGUAACUAUGCACGUUUUGACGGUACCUAAUCAAAAAGCCACGGCUAACUACGU
rnacentral:rRNA from 1 species